UUUUAAUGUUAUAGCAGUAAAACGUCGAGACGGAGAUGAAAAGUAGGAGUGUAUUUAAAGGAAAUGGGUGGUGAGUAGCCACAGACAGUAGAACGCCGGGGUCAGACCCACCAUGGCUUUCCCACCUGUCGACCCCACUUUCCCCCAUGUGCUUGUCGCGGGAUGACAACCACAGCACUCGAGAACCACCCCCUCCGGAAAGGAGGCGGGGUUACUCCUUCAGCCAAUCAGGGCCCGCGAGCCCUGGGUGUCCAACCUAUGGGGUGGCCGUGGCCGUGCAGGGGGAGGACAUGGGAUAGCGGGGAGGGGCCGCGUCUUUAGGAGGCGCGCACGUGUCCAGUCCGGAGAGGCGGCAGGCGUCCAGGUACCGAGGCGCGGGCUCUGCACCCUGGCAGCCGCCUAGUCCAGCUGCCCAGUGCCUCUUUUGCCUCGGACUCUGCUGGGCAAGACGUGCUGCCGCCAAGGAAGGAAGACCCGUCCAAGGUGUCUGAGUUCCCAGGCCCACUCCCCUCCGAGCCUCUGUGCCCGAGCGGGGUCGGAGGCGGGACCAGGGAACCCCGGCUCCAAGCCUAGACGCCCCAGGGAUGCCGAGGGCACCGGAGCUGCUUACCUGGGGCGGCGAUACGGAGAGCAGAGGUAGCCCGCCGCGCGGAGCCCGAUGCUGGGCGCGGCGUGGCUCCUCCUCGCCUCGGCGUCCCCCUCCUCCGCUUCUCCCGGACUCCGUCCCGGGCACGGAGCUGCAAGACGGGGCCGGACUGCAGCUGCCGUUCUCUUCGCUGCCUCCUCCGCCGCCGCCGCCGCUGCCGCAGACAGAGGACGCCCCGUGGCGACUGGAAGCCGGAAAUCCGUAAACUCGGGUAAGGAAGAUCGAACACGCGUCUUGCGUCGGAGAGCUGCCCGCCAGGGAGAGGCAGAAGAGGCGGGGAGAGCAGUGCGGCGCGCGCGGUCUCC